GCUGGGCGUGGUGGCGCACGCCUGUAAUCCCAGUUACUUGGGAGGGUGAGGCAGAGAACUGCUUGAACCCGGGAGGUGGAGGUUGCAGUGAGCCGAGAUGGCGACACUGCACUCCAGCCUGGGUGAUAGAGCGACACUCCGUCCCCCAGCAAAAAAAAAAAAAAAGACAGAGUCUCGCUCUAUCGCCCAGGCUAGAGUGCAGUGGCACAAUCUCAGCUCGCUGCAACCUCCACCUCCCGGGUUUAAGUCAUUCUUGUGCCUCAG
rnacentral:SRP_RNA from 1 species